GGUAGGUUGAAACUGAAUAUGAUGAACAACUGGCAGGUGGUAAGGUGGAAGAAUGGGAAGAUACAAUUCAAGAGAGUGAACAUGUUCAAGAUCAGCUGACUGUUAUUGAUCUUAACUAUUUGAGCAUAGUGGAAUAACGGGUGGAUUUGAGUCCUGAAAAGCUAAAGAAGGUAGUGGUGAUAUUAGGUGUUUGAAGACAAGUAAGUUAAUUGCUACUUAUAAAAGCUCAAAGUUAGUAAGGUGUUUGAAAGUUAUGAGAUAAUUGAUUCCCUUGGACCAGAGGUUAUUCUUUACGAUGCAAAUGUUCCGGGUGAAGGGGAGCAGAAGGUUAUGUCGUACAUUCUUCUUCAAAGAAAUCUUCUUGGAAUCAGAGAAACUUUGGAACAUAUUCGCAAGCUCAAGAAUAAAGAGGUUAUGCUUCUUCCCAGGUAUUUUGAGACUUUGGUGAAAGGACUGUGCAAGGCUAAUAGAUUUGCAGAUGCUUUGGAGAUUUUGGAUAUUAUGAAGAAAAGAGAUUUUGUUGAUAAAAAUGUUUACGGGAUUAUUACUUGAGAAAGAAUGAUGUUUCUAGAGUUGAUAUGUUUUUAUAGUAUGAAAGAAUCUGGAUAUUUGCCUACUGCUUCUACCUACACCAAACUGAUGCAGCAGCUCUUCAAUGUGAAUGAGUAUCAAAAAGGUUGUGACCUGUAUGAUGUGAUACUUGAAACAGGAGUGUAAUAUAAUGCCAGCUCCAAUACUUUCAUUUUUAAAAUA